GAAGCAAGCCAGACCGCCGCUGGUGCAAGGCCCGAAAGGGCGCACUGGAGGAAGGUCCGGACUGCACAGGGCAGCGCAGCAGCUAACGGCUGUCCACCGCGAGGUGAGGAUCAGAGCAACAGAGACGAGUCAGGGCGGGUUCCCGUGUGGGCCCGCCUUGGGUGAAACGGGCAAUCUCUGCGCGCAGCAACACCAAAUAGGCCGGCGAUGAUGUGGCUCCGCGGAGCCGGCGGGUAGGUGGCACCGAGCCGUGCAGCGAUGCACGGCCCAGAGGAAUGGCGGUCACGGCGGCAGGUUCGCGAGGGCCUGGCGCUGCACAGAAUCCGGCCUAUCGGCUCGCUUCACAC
rnacentral:RNase_P_RNA from 1 species